rnacentral:tRNA from 1 species
AAGGAUUUAAGUUAAUUAAACUAUCAGCCUUCAAAGUCGAAAAUAGAAGAUUUUCUAAGCCUUA